CCUACCCGAUUUAACCCAUGGCAACCUAUCUUAGAAACAACUACUGAAAUUACUUACUAUCUCCUCCUUUUAUCAAAAAGUAUCAAAAAUAGCAGCUGAAUUUUAACAAGAAACAAUGCCUGGGCUGCUCACAUCAAGGUAGCUUUAAUCUAGGAGUGUACUUGGCCUGCCAGCAUAUGCAAAGUCUCAGGAAACAUCUGAUGGUACAUCUUCCCGAAUGUAACUAUUAAUGGCACAUCAUUUUAAACAUUUCAUGUGAAAACAAACAUGGCUAUAUAAAUUCGGAUUGCAAAGUACCAAGAAUCGCAAAGAAAAAACACAAGACUGUGAGGAAAUUUUAUUAUUGUGAUAGGCUGUUUGAACAACCACCACCCCCCCAAAGCCAUUCAUUUCUGUUAUUUGAUCUCAUGUCCCACUGCCAUCAGAUAGGCAUCUGUAGGAAAAUUGAAACAGCACAGUCUUCAGCCAAGGGAAUGAAGUCCUAAUGUCUAAUUAUUUCAGUACCAUCCAGCUGGAGAGAUACCAGAAAUUAGCAAGAGGACGAUAACUCUUAUGCAGUAGAAAUAAAUUGAAGUUCCAACAUCUACUACUGGUGUGACCUUGGGCAAGUCACUUACCCUCUUUGAGUAAAUCUCUACAUGCCACAUAAAGGUUAAGGUAACCAUAAUUUUCUGAGUGACAAAACCAAAACACAUCACCAUGGAUGUAUUUUUUUUGUUUUGUGGAAAAAAAGCUCACAUUAAUCUACAUGUUGAGAUAACCACUAUUAGUGCUUGAAUACCAAGGACAAGAACAAGACUCUAUAGACUUCCAACGGAAGAAAAAUUAAUAAGAAUCAGAAAUCUGAAUGGUGUCACAGUUCUCAGCAACAAUCAGAACCAUGAAGAAAUGCAUCAAUGCUCUCAAUAUUCUGAAAGUAAGCACUCUGCAAUCUAGAAUUCUAUAGUUAACCAGACUGUGAUCAAGCUAAGAUAAAGAUCAUUCUGGUAUAAAAUAUCUCAAAAAAAGUAACCUUGUGCACCCUUCAUCAAGAAUCUUCUGGAGGAUGCACUUCUUGAAAUGAGCAUUAUCAACUAAGAAGAUGACUAGGGAUAAGGAAAUGGGUCAUCCAGUGCUGGAGAGAGACAAAGAGAAUUCUCCGGAAAUUCCCAAGGAAAGGGGAAAUCUGAAAUGAUAGUUAUGCUCUAGAUCAGAAGGCAACAAUCCAGUCUGAAGUAUCACAAUAAGCAACAAAUAUACAAAAGCAGUUUUCACCUAGAGCCUUAACUGCCAUCCAACCCAAAAUGCCUGGAUGUACCUGCUUCAGAUGCUUAUGUGUUUUGGAUUGCAUAACCAUGUGCUGUGGAAAUUUCUGUUCUGUCCAUGCUCUGAUAUUAGAUCAUCUAAAGACACUCAUUUCAGGAAUGCCUGGGUGGCUCAGUGGUUGAGCAUCUGCCUUUGACUCAGGUCGUGAUCCUGGGGUCCUAGGAUCAAGUCCUGAAUCAGGCUCCCCUCCCACCCCAAGAGCCUGCU